GUGGCGUGUGUGGCGGCGGCGGGGGGACGGCGGGGGGGGGUGGGGGUGUUGGGAAUUACUGGUCGGAAAGAGCACUGAGGCGUCGUGGUAGGUUUGAGGGGAAGGCCAAGGGCUCAAGCCGGGAAUUGCCUUUAAGACUGCAUCGGUUGAACGUCGGAGAGGUAAGGGGAAUUCCGAGUGUAGAGGGUAAAUUCGUAGAUAUUCGGAAGAACACCAGUGGCGAAGGCGACUUACUGGACGAUUGUUGACGCUGAGGUGCGAAAGCGUGGGGAGCAAACAGGAUUAGAUACCCGGGUAGUC
rnacentral:rRNA from 1 species